rnacentral:rRNA from 1 species
AUUGAACGCUGGCGGCAGGCCUAACACAUGCAAGUCGAGCGAAGCGCUUUGGUUAGAUUCUUCGGAUGAAGACCUUUGUGACUGAGCGGCGGACGGGUGAGUAACGCGUGGGUAACCUGCCUCAUACAGGGGGAUAACAGUUAGAAAUGACUGCUAAUACCGCAUAAGACCACAGUACCGCAUGGUACAGGGGUAAAAACUCCGGUGGUAUGAGAUGGACCCGCGUCUGAUUAGCUGGUUGGUGGGUAACGCCUACCAAGGCGACGAUCAGUAGCCGGCCUGAGAGGGCGACCGGCCACAUUGGGACUGAGACACGGGCCCAAACUCCUGCGGGAGGCAGCAGUGGGGAAUAUUGCACAAUGGGCGAAAGCCUGAUGCAGCGACGCCGCGUGAGCGAUGAAGUA